AGAGUUUGAUCCUGGCUCAGAAUCAACGCUGGCGGCGUGCCUAACACAUGCAAGUCGAACGCGAAAGUCCCGCAAGGGAUAAGUAGAGUGGCAAACGGGUGAGUAACACGUGGGUGACCUGCCUUCGAGCGGGGGAUAACGUCCCGAAAGGGACGCUAAUACCGCAUAACAUCCUGCCUUUUAAGAGGUGGAGAUCAAAGCCGGGGACCGCAAGGCCUGGCACUUGAAGAGGGGCCCGCGUCUGAUUAGCUAGUUGGUGGGGUAAUGGCCUACCAAGGCAACGAUCAGUAUCCGGCCUGAGAGGGCGGACGGACACACUGGGACUGAGACACGGCCCAGACUCCUACGGGAGGCAGCAGUGGGGAAUUGUUCGCAAUGGGCGCAAGCCUGACGACGCAACGCCGCGUGGAGGAUGAAGACCUUCGGGUCGUAAACUCCUUUCGAUCGAGACGAAUGUUUCCCGGGUGAACAAUCCGGGAAAGUGACGGUACCGAGAGAAGAAGCCCCGGCUAACUCUGUGCCAGCAGCCGCGGUAAUACAGGGGGGGCAAGCGUUGUUCGGAAUUACUGGGCGUAAAGGGCUCGUAGGUGGCCAACUAAGUCAGACGUGAAAUCCCUCAGCUUAACUGGGGAACUGCGUCUGAUACUGGAUGGCUUGAGAUUGGGAGAGGGAUGCGGAAUUCCAGGUGUAGCGGUGAAAUGCGUAGAUAUCUGGAGGAACACCGGUGGCGAAGGCGGCAUCCUGGACCAACACUGACACUGAGGAGCGAAAGCCAGGGGAGCAAACGGGAUUAGAUACCCCUGUAGUCC
rnacentral:rRNA from 1 species